UGGUUUUUCCAGUGUAGGAAGUUCAAAUUAGUCUCCCGGAUCCUGACUGGUGGGUUCCCGAAGAAAAGGGCGGGUUUCACAGGCAGCAGCUUCCGAUGUCUCCAAUGCACCUUUAACUGCAGUAACUGACCGGUGACCGGGCCCUGUCUCAGAUAACUGGCCAGGUGAAAAGGCAGGUCCCCCUCCCCCCGCCCCCGCCCAGUUGAGUGAUAUUAGCCACCCUGCUCCCUGGGAUGUUAACCAAUAGCUCAGCAGGGUGGGGCGGGAUUUCUCCAAGUGCUAUUUUAAAUGAGGCGGGGCUAUGCAAAUUUUCCCCUUCAGAGACUCUCUUUCCGGGCUGUUCCCACCCGCCCCUGACCCUGCGGCCCGCGGAGAAGCUCUGUCCGUGCAGGGAGCAGCUCCGGACCCGUCCCCAGGGCGAGGACUGGCCGCAGACGCGCAGAGACGAUGCGGUGGUGGCUCCAUUUUGCUUUCAUCGCAGCAGCGUCCAAAGGGGCCGAGGCGCAGGGGCGGCUGGUGGAGUCCGGCGGCGGGGCUGCGACCACCGGCGGCUCCAGGCGGCUCUCCUGCACGGGCUCCGGAUUCGCUUUCAGCAGCUACACCUUGUUCUGGUACCGGCAGCGCCCCGGGAAGGGGCUGGAAUGGGUCUCCUGGAUCAGCGGCACUGGCGGGAGCAAAGAUUACACUAACUCCGUGAAAGGGCGAUUCACCGUCUCCAGGGACAACACCAAGAGCCAGCUGUAUCUGCAAAUGAGCCGCCUGGGACCCGAGGACACCGCCCGGUAUCACUGUGCGGGAGACAGUGAGGGGAAGCCGGUCUGAGUUGACACAAAAACUCGCUUCGUUCAGACCAGGGGAUUCGUGAGCGUCCCGUGACUAACAUCACCCCCUGAACUCCGGUGUCCCCUGACCCGCACCACAUAGCCGGCCACUCACCCACCCACCGACCCCCUGCAGCCCCUGGGUGGCGCCCUUGUGCAGUGUCGUGGACGCUCAGGGGGCAGGGUGUGUGUCUGUGCAGGAGGGUUUCAGAGGAACAGCCGUGUUAGUCUGUAUUCGCAAAAAGAAAAGGAGUACUUGUGGCACCUUAGAGACUAACCAAUUUAUUUGAGCAUGAGCUUUCGUGAGCCACAGCUCACUUUGUUCUCUGAGCACAGGGCAGGGAUAUGAACCCAGACACCCUGGUCUGAGAGCAGGGGAAAGAUCUGAGCUCUGCUGGGUUCACUAGCUGUGACGAAGUGGGCCUGUUCUUAAUGUUUCCUCCGAAUAUUGUGGGGGUGCCUCAGUUUCCCCUAUGCAGUUCUUAAGUCUCUAGGUGGUGGGGUAAGGGUGUAUGAUCAUUGCAGAGCCCUAGAUGGCAGGUGUGUGCAGGAGUCUGGACACAGAGAAUGGCCGACACCCUGUUUCCUGGCAACUGAUGGCCUGGGCCCUUCCCCCCUGCAAGGUGAAAGCUGAAGGGUUGGAGAACAAAGGAAUCAGGUGACCACCUGGCCCAGGAAAGGAACAAAGCCCAGAGGAGGAGGGGCUGGAGGGAGUUUCAGUUUGGGGCUGCCUGGGACAUGGAGUGAAGGGCAGACGUGGUUGUCUGGCUCACUGCCCCCAAAAUGGACCCAGCUGAGGGGUCCCGUUCUCUGCACCUACAAGCUCUGUUUUAGACCAUGUUCCUGUCGUCUAAUAAACCUUCUGUUUUACUGGCUGGCUGAGAGUCACGUCUGACUGCGAAGUUGGGGUGCAGGACCCUCUGGCUUCCCCAGGACCCCGUCUGAGCAGACUCGCUGUGGGCAGUGCAGGGAGGGGCAGAGGAUGCUGAAUGCUCCAAGGUCAGACCCAGGAAGGUGGAAGCUGUGUGAGCUGUGUGUCCUGAAGACAGGCUGCUCACAGGAAGGCGACUGCCCCAGAGUCCUGACUGGCUUCAUGGGGAGCAGUUCCAGAGCAUCACCCAGGGACUCAGUGACAACCCCUCAGUCAUGUCCUUCUGGGGAAGCAGGGAGCUUAGACCCCAGCCCUGGGGUUCCCUGCGUUCCUCCACCCAGCACCAAACUGAAACUAAACCCCCCCAGCAGGCUCUCUCCUGCAGCCUUUGUCCACAUUCCCGGGCAGAGGUGUCACCUCCCCCACCUCCUCCUGGCUCAGGUUAUAGGCUCUCAGGUCUCCCAUCCCCAGGGCACAUUCCCAGGUCAACACUCCCCUAUCCCUGCUGCUUCACAUCGUCACAGGGGGGGCAUGGCGAAAAAAAAUGUGAGAACCCCUGUGUGACCCACUGCACCCUGCAGGCCACAGAACCUCCUCCCCCCCCUCCCCGCCU